rnacentral:rRNA from 1 species
UACGUAGGGUGCAAGCGUUAAUCGGAAUUACUGGGCGUAAAGCGUGCGCAGGCGGUUUUGUAAGUUUGUCGUGAAAGCCCCGGGCUCAACCUGGGAAUUGCGAUGAAGACUGCAAGGCUUGAAUCUGGCAGAGGGGGGUAGAAUUCCACGUGUAGCAGUGAAAUGCGUAGAGAUGUGGAGGAACACCGAUGGCGAAGGCAGCCCUCGGUCGGUAAGAUUGACGCUCAUGCACGAAAGCGUGGGGAGCGAUCCGG